UCCGGUAGCAGCAGCGGCGUGGUCAGAGCGAGCUUCGGAGAAGCAGUGGUGGGUUCCAUGUGAUGGUGGAGUAGGAGGCAGGUCUCCGCGGUUCAUCUGCGUUGCUCUAAAUGACACUGUUUCAUUAUUUUGAUGGCUGAAGAAUAUUUCCUAGUGUAUGUAUAUGAGAGUUUCUUGAUCUCUUUAUCUGUGGAUGAACAGCUACUUUGAAACAUAUGAUACAUUUGUGUUAAGGCUAGUCACCCUGCUGUGGAAUAAAAGACCAGAAUGAUCAGUCUCAUCUGAGAGUAACUUUGUACCCAUCACUGGUUCCUUCUGAGACAGCCUCCACUUCCCCAGCAGCCUCUGGUUUCUUCAUGUGGCUUCAGGUUUCUUCAUGUGGCAGGAUUUCCCAAAGGUUUAUGGCUGAAACAUAUUCUGUGGUGUAUCUAUACAGCAGUUUCCUCAUCCCUGCAGCUGUGUUUGAACAGCUUCAACAGUAUGGCUCCAAAUGAUGAAAUUUCAUUUUGAUUUUCUGGCUGAAGACUAUUCUGUUUGUAUACGUCCACCACAGUUACUUUAUCCCUUCAUCUGUGGAUGGGCAGUCUCGCUCUGUUGCCCAGGCUGGAGUGCAGUGGCACGAUCUCGGCUCACUGCAAGCUCCGCUUCCUGGGUUCACACCAUUCUCCUGCCUCAGCCUCCUGAGUAGCUGGGAUUACAGGCACCUGCCACCACGCCCAGGAAAGAAAAAAGAAGAAAACAAACCUCCAUAAGAGAGGGGGUCUAAAGGAACUUCCCAAACCUCCAUGAUUUUGCAGGAGACAAGAUAAAGCUCCAGGCCAGGAGCCCCAACUGGCUGGUGGAGGAUGUCUUGCUCCUCAGCAGCUGAGAUUUGUAAGUAUUUAUAGGAACAUGGAACAGAUCAGUGGCUGACAGGCCCAGGAAGCAGACAGUCCCCUUCCCAUAGGUCACCAGCUUCACUUCCCCUUCCCGCACCCCAUCCUGAUUUGAGGGAGCCCAGGAUGACAAAGAGGGAGUAGUUGAGCAAGGUAUGGAGUAGCAGCCUCUAAAGGAGCUCAAAGGAUGCAGUUGUCCAUCUGCCCUGGGCUCAGCUUCCACACUCAGAGUCACUCACAUCCCUCCACCGUCGCCACAGCUCACCUAUGUGCCCACACUGACCAAGGCCACACUGACCCCAAAUGCACACUGUUUCAACUCUCAGCACUUCACUGUCACACUCGCGUGUGUACACACAUGCUAAUUUCCACAGCCACGUGGAUGCUCACAGGCUCACACCUUUGCACACACACAAGCUGGCUCCACACACUGGGGGCCCAGAUCCCGGUCAUUCCCCACAGGUCUUAAUAAAGGUUCUGAGAGGGAAACUUGUUUCCUAAGGUAGGGUGGGAGUGUGUG
rnacentral:sRNA from 1 species